GCUGGGUAUGGUGGUGCAUGCCUGUGGUCCCAGCUACUUGGGAGGCUGAGAUGGAGGAUUGCUUGAAUCCAGGAGGUUGAGGCUGCAGUGAGCUGUAAUGAUGCCACUGCAUUCUAGCCUGGGCAACAGAGCAAGACCCUAUCUCAG
rnacentral:SRP_RNA from 1 species